GGGAUCGGAAGCUUACAUUCCAAAAUUUUUGGAAGAAUCCAUUGAUGUGGAGACUCUCCAAAUGUUGUCAGAGGCUGACUUGAAAGACUUAGUGCCAAUUAUUGGACACCGGGCUAAGCUGACGACAAAAAUCAAACUUUUGACCAAUAUAAUGUCAAAUGCUUUUGAGAACACUUGUUCUAAUACUACUCCGGACUCAAACAACCAAAUAAUGCUGUAUACAGUGGAAGAUUUGCCAGUUGUACAGACAUUACCUGAUGAAAAAUGGAAAUGAUCGAAUUUUAAAUACUAUUAUAGUGUAUGUAGCUAGGUUUGGCUAGUAUAGUGUGCUAGCUCUUUGUCUGAAUUAAUUAUAAGUUCCUACUAAAAUUAAUUGAUUUGAUACUUAAUAAAUAAAUAUAAUUGUAAAAAA